rnacentral:tRNA from 1 species
AGCGAGUCGGGAACGCACCGGAAUUGUCCGGAAUUGCAGGCGCAUUGACUGUAAAUCUGCCCGGGUUUCCCGUACGCUGGUUCGAAUCCAGCCCUGUCCACCA